AUGGCGACGUCGCAAAGCUCAUGGCUCCUCAGACAUCCUUGUCCACUAGCGAUGCCAUGGACAAGAACAGGGUAUAAUAUAGGCCUCCAAGUGACCAACAUCGGUUUUGAAAUGAGCGAACCGUUGGGCGAGCGCUCGGGCGACAGCCUCGGUGACGCGGCUCGGCCCUCGCCGCGGGUGGCGGCGAACGGAUGGACCCUCGUUCGGAGCGGCGCAGGUGCCUCGGGCCGCUCGGCGGCGGGCGCGCCGGCGGCGCCGUCAACCUCGCUGGCCCUAGAACCUUGCGGGGGCAGGUCCUGGGCCCUGGUGGCGGAAGACUCGGGCGACGAAGGUGAGGAUGCAGAGGAUGGGGCGUGGAUACCGACGCCGUCAAGGCCCUUGGUGUGCGAUUUCGUGGCUUUCGCGGCGAGGUCGCAGCGCCGGGGGCGUGGACAUGGCCGGUGUUUUGCCCCGGGGGGUAGGGGCCCCAGGUCGGCGGCGUCUCGUGUCUGGAGUCCAGCGACACCUGGAAGUGGCAACAUGGCGGCGAAUGCGGCGGUGGCGUUGCUGCCUUCCCUGUCGCCCUCGGAGCCGGUCGAGGAUUGGCCAUGCUUGCCCUCGCCGAUGCGGCGGCUGGCGGCAGCGGCGCUGGAGGGACGGCGCGCGCCAGAGGAGGUGCCCGAGCUGGCCUCGAGGGCUGACGUGGCGGCGAGCGAGGCCGUGGGAGCGGUUCGUGGGCCACGGGCCGCGGUUGGGCCUGGGGUUGUGCCUUCGGUGGUGGAGGGGCUGAGUGUGGCCCAGUCGGUGGGGGAGGCUCAGGUGUCGGCGGCGGCCAGUGGAGUGGGUUCGGUCUGGCCCGACCCAGCUCAGCAGUCCCACGCGGCUCGGCCUGCCCCCGGCUAUAUAUGGCUGCGUCGCGGGGUGUUGGACCCUACUUUAGGGUUUCCAGCCACCGCUCGAGAGGUGCGGCGCUUUGGCCUCUUCGCCCGCACUCUCCAGAUCUCGCCUCCUCCCCCCCCCCUCUCGAUCUCCUUCGCGGCGGCGGUGAUGGGCGAUCGACGGGCGGACAAGAGACCGAUGGAGGCGCCGAAUCUGGAUGCUGAGAGAAGAAGAGAGAAGGAGCUGCGCGACAAGGCAAAGGCUUCUGCUCGGGAUCGCCAAGGGUACCGCGACGAGCGUGCACCGUGUGGCUACGUUUCGGAGCAGGUAGGGCGCGAGGGGGAUUGGGGCGCUCCUCCCCCUUGGUGGAUCCAGCAGCAGGAGAAGAAGAAAAAGAAGAAGGCGGGCCAGCGCCGCCGCGAGCUGGAGCGCAAAUCCAUGGAGCACCCCAACUGUGGUGGGGCCACGGGAUCCUCUCGCCAAAAAGCCCAUGGCGAGCGCGUGAUCUCCUUGCCGCCGCCACCUCCGCCUCUCACCCCUCCUCUGCCUUUGUCUCUGUGUUUCUCCUCCACUCCCCACGAUUCCCCCAACCAACCCCAUCACCGCCGCCGACGCCGACGACCUCCUCUCCCCCAACCCCACCGCCGGCGCCCCCCACCUCACCAGGAGCCACUGCCAUGGACAGAGCCGCUGCCUCUCUCGGCGCCCGAAGCCCUAGCUCAGGCCGCCGCGACCCACCCGCUGCGUCCCACGUUCACGCGCGAGAUCCGCCCCAUGGCGAUGUUCGAUCCAGGCAGGCCCGAGGAAGGAGAGCAGUCGGCUCCCUUCCUCCUCUCCGUCUCCGACGCUGUCGCCGCCCAGCCACGGAGUACCACCGCAACACCUGGUAUGGCGCACCACGGCCACCCAUCGCCGGUGACCUCCCAUAGCUCCGACCCUGGCUGCCUCCUAGCGCACUGCAGCUUCACCAGCCUCCCCCUCCCCACCUCCUCCGCACCGCCGCUGGACCAGCGUGCCGCGUUGCCCUCAGAUCCGGCUUCCAGGAGCUGCCACGGUCGUUCAGCAGGUAGCAUUGCGUGCAUCAUUGGCCGUGCGUGCAGUCCGCAUCCCCUUCGCAUGCCUGCACUACGGUUCGCUGGUGUAGUUCAAUGUUUGGCUCCGCCUCCCCCUGUUUGCAGCUCCUUUCAAUUCUUUUGCAGCUCACUGAAUAUAUUUUUGCAGUUCAUUGUGAGAAUCCAUUGCGCUAGCCGCGCCGCACCUUUUCCUGCUUCUUCUCGUCUGAGGCGAGCACCAGCGUUAAAAACUGCACUGUCAAAUUUGGACAGCCAGCUUCUAGGCCUGUGGAAAAGGACUGAAGAAUCCAUAGCAAGAACUGAGAGUGUUUACAGUUACUAUAUAAACUACAAGCUGAUGAAGAAGAAAGUAAAACAAUAUGGGCAGCAGCUCCAACAGGGAGAGAAAGACCGUCGCCGUGUUCUCAAGGAUUUCUCAAAGAUGCUUGAUGAUCAGGUAGAAGAUAGCAACAGAGUGGGAAGGUUUGUGCAGAGAUCUUGCCUCGAGGUUAAGACCUCACUGUCUGCUUCAACGAAGAGAUUUGAAGAGCUGCAAAAGGGUUUCUUCUGCCUCCGGUUCGACGACGAUGAAGAGGCGGAGGUGCCGGUGGAUGCGCGGAUCGAGAACGCUGCCAUCCUCUUGGCGGAGCCCGGCAAGCUGUCCCUCCGCAUCCUGCAGCAAGAGCUCAAGCUCAUCGUGGCUGGGGACUGGGACUGGGUGCGUGAUAUGCUGCAUGAAGAGAUCCAGUCCAUGGUGAUGCCCGAGGCUUGGGUGCGGCUGCACGGGAUCCCGAAGAAACACCGCGGGAGGAUAGGAUCAAAGAAGGUUUCAAGAUGUCGGGGCGACCUAUUGGUGGAUGAACUGUCUCCCACAAGGUUGGGGCCUGUGAGGAUGAAAUUGGCUUGCAAAGACCCAAACAAGCUUAACGGGGUGGUGGAAGUUUGGUUUAACCAUGAGGGCUAUCAAGUCAAAGUGGAGGUCGAGCGUUUGCCCAAACGUGUGGCGAUGGCGGCGCUCCGAGGCAGGGGCCCUCUGACCCUCGCCCCCCAUAUGAGGGUGACAAAUCUGAGCACCUGGGGCAACAGGGCGGCAACAGCAAGCAAUGUUCCCCCGCUGGCCCGCACUCUGGCUGGUGCUUUUGAUGAGUAUGGAUCAAACCUGGAGCUGCCUGUGCCUUCUCUCCUCUCUGAUCCAAUGAUGCUGGAGACCCCUCGGGCCCAUGUGAUCCCAUCUUCUCCGAUAGCGCUGGGGGCUGACUCUGGAUAUGUUUUGAAUGAAGGGGCCGGUCCGACCCCUGCGUCCGGCCGUCGUGGCUCGAGCGGGUCGGGCAGACAGCCUAAAAAGAUAGCGGGGAGGAAACCAGCGGCCAAGGAGACGACGUCGAAGAAGGUGGUGUCAUCGGCAGGGUUGUGUGGGACCAAACGAGCGCUCCUCCUCCCACUUGUUUUGGGUGCGGAAAAGAAUAACGACAAUGUGGACUGGGCUAGGGUGAACAUGUUCAAUAACGCAAUUGCGGCUAGGGCCUUGCGUGAGGCAACGCGUACGGGUGCGAGAUACACCUGGUCUAACAAACAGCUGCGUCCGGUGCGGAGCGUCCUUGACAGGGUGUUCUUCACCCCGGAGUGGGAGGCGAUCUUCCCUCUCUGUUCUCUGGUGGCGGAGACGCGUAUAGGCUCGGACCACCUCCCCCUCAUCUUCUCCUCUGGAGAGGAUUCUGUACGGAGAAAUCGUUGUUUCUACUUUGAAACAACGUGGUUUGGAGUUGAGGGCUUUGAGCUUAUGAUGUGUACACCGUUGGGGAAGCACCGAGAUGCUGAGCAGAUGUCGGAGGCCAUGUAG
rnacentral:rRNA from 1 species